rnacentral:lncRNA from 1 species
UAUUUGAUUCCUUACUCUUCAUGUUGCUAUUUUCUUGUUGAUAUUUCUUGAUUCAAAGUCCAAAAUAAAAAUGGGUUUUCUAUAUGACAUUCUUGUCUGUUGGAUUGCAUCCCAUUGGUCAGAUCUUUUCAACUCUUAACUUUUAAUUUUAUGUUUAGGAUUAGUCUCUUCAUCUCCCCCCAUUUCUUAAAUUUCGAAUCUCUAUCCCUUUUCAAAAUCUUCUUUGCUUGUGA